rnacentral:rRNA from 1 species
UACGAAGGGGGCUAGCGUUGCUCGGAAUCACUGGGCGUAAAGCGCACGUAGGCGGAUUUCUAAGUCAGGGGUGAAAUCCUGGAGCUCAACUCCAGAACUGCCUUUGAUACUGAAGAUCUUGAGUUCGGGAGAGGUGAGUGGAACUGCGAGUGUAGAGGUGAAAUUCGUAGAUAUUCGCAAGAACACCAGUGGCGAAGGCGGCUCACUGGCCCGAUACUGACGCUGAGGCACGAAAGCGUGGGGAGCAAACAGG